GACGAACGCUGGCGGCGUGCCUAAUACAUGCAAGUCGAGCGGACAUCUUCGGAUGUCAGCGGCGGACGGGUGAGUAACACGUGGGCAACCUGCCCGAUACAUGGGGAUAACGCUUGGAAACGAGUGCUAAUCCCGAAUGAGACCGAGAGUUCGCAUGAACUUUUGGGGAAAGACGCGUUUGCGUCGGUAUCGGAUGGGCCCGCGGCGCAUUAGCUAGUUGGUGAGGUAACGGCUCACCAAGGCGACGAUGCGUAGCCGACCUGAGAGGGUGACCGGC
rnacentral:rRNA from 1 species